UGCACCAAGAGGUACAUGCUAUGUUGGAACCAUGUAUUUUUCUAGUAUGAUCCAGGCAUCCCACAAGAAAGCCAUGAUGUGGGGCUAAGCCAUUUGUUUAAAAUAAAGGAGAACAGAAGAAAGGAAAGCGGUGAAGAUGUUCCAAGGAAAUAGUGUAAAACAGAAUAACAUCUGUUUUGUCCAAAGCUACAAAAAUAAACGGAGAAAAUCACAGUUAAGUCUUAGAGUACUCCCAAUACAGAGCUAUUAAGUCUUUGAUCCUAAACUGAGUUUGUAGACCUGGAAUUUGCCAUCUUGCUCUUUUCAGUGAGAUCUCUGAUAUCUGGCCGUGCUUAUGAUAGGUUUCUGAAAGAUGUAGACCCAAAUCUAGGCUGAAUUUCCUUCUGAAUUAAAAUUUAACAUUUUUAUAGAAACAGAUGAAUGUCUUUUCCACUUGGUAAAUGUCUUAGAAUGCUAAAUUGAGAUAAAAAGAGACUGGAAUGGUUAAAGGUUUUUAGAUUUCUGGCAUUUUGAAUUCUCUGCUGCCAUUAACUGCAUUCCUUGGUAGCAAACAUAUGGAGGGUAAUUGUUUGGUUUACGUAUCUUUUUUUCCCCCCAGCUGAUCCAAAAACAGCUUAGAAAAAUCAGAUAACACAAAGGACAGUAAGACCCACAGCUCACUAGCUAGGUAUAGAAGGAAAUUAUAGAUGGUUUCUGCAGUUCUUUCAAGUAGGACUUA
rnacentral:lncRNA from 1 species